rnacentral:rRNA from 1 species
UCUAAGUAUAACCUGCCAGACAGGGAAACUGCGUACGGCUCAUUACACCAGCCUUAAUUUACUUGACCUUGACAACCUACUUGGAUAACUGUGGUAAUUCUAGAGCUAAUACAUGCACCGAAGCUCCGAUCCUCGCGGAGAGGAGCGCAUUUGUUCGCCACAAAACCAAGCGCCCAUCUGGGCGUCCAGUGCUGAACCAGAACAACUCAGCUGAUCGCACGGUCUUGUACCGGCGACGUGUCUUUCAAGUGUCUGCCUUAUCAACUUUCGAUGGUAGUGUACCUGACUACCAUGGUUGUGACGGGUAACGGAGGAUAAGGGUUCGACUCCGGAGAAGGGGCCUGAGAAAUGGCCACUACGUCUAAGGAUGGCAGCAGGCGCGCAAAUUACCCACUCUCAACGCGAGGAGGUAGUGACGAGAAAUAACGAGACCGUUCUCAUACGAGGCCGGUUAUUGGAAUGGGUACAAUUUAAA